rnacentral:rRNA from 1 species
GAACGCUAGCGACAGGCCUAACACAUGCAAGUCGAGGGGCGAGCACAAGGAGCAAUCUGAGGUGGCGACCGGCGCACGGGUGAGUAACACGUAUGCAACCUGCCUGUAAGCGGGGAAUAACCCGUUGAAAGACGGACUAAUACCGCAUAAUACUAAAUUACUGCAUGGUAAUUUAUUUAAACAUUUAUGGCUUACAGAUGGGCAUGCGCAUGAUUAGCUAGUUGGAGAGGUAACGGCUCCCCAAGGCAACGAUCAUUAGGGGUUCUGAGAGGAAGGUCCCCCACACUGGUACUGAGACACGGACCAGACUCCUACGGGAGGCAGCAGUGAGGAAUAUUGGUCAAUGGACGAGAGUCUGAACCAGCCAAGUCGCGUGCAGGAAGAAUGUCCUUAAUGGAUUGUAAACUGCUUUUGCAGGGGAAUAAAGUGCAUCACGUGUGAUGUUUUGUAUGUACUCUGCGAAUAAGGAUCGGCUAACUCCGUGCCAGCAGCCGC